rnacentral:misc_RNA from 1 species
GUUCACACGAAAGCAACAAUAACAGGAAUCAAAGUAGGUGGAAAAAAUCUCUGACUACCAAAAUUAAAGUUUUGAACAAAUGAGAGCAUAAAUUUUGCUAAGGUGUUCAAACACAGAAAAAGAAUAGGGAAGAAUAUUCCAAACAGAAGCAAAAUAUUUUCAUUGUCCUGGAAGAUGUAAUAGUCCAGUUUCCCUCUCUGACCUAAUGGAGGCAGUAUGAUUGUUAAUAUCAGCCAUAUCAACUGCAAGCCCUAUCAACAAAUUAGGUAUCAGACUAAAAUCCCAAAGCAG